rnacentral:tRNA from 2 species
GCGCCUGUAGCUCAGCUGGAUAGAGCACUAGACUUCGAAUCUAGGGGCCAGGGGUUCGAAUCCUCUCGGGCGCGCCA